rnacentral:lncRNA from 1 species
UAAAGACUCAGGUGUAAAAUGUCAGCAUUCUGGCACUAUUCUAAGGAAGACACUGAAAAUUAGGGCAGAGUAUUUUUAAACCAAUAGGCUUGUAAACCUAUACCUGGUAUAUAAAGUUCUGGCUUACUUUGCCAAUGGUCAUCUGUUGCAGAUGCUUCAAGAGAAGAGUUGCUGGAAAAAACACAUCAAGUGUAGAAGACGUGUUCAAAAAUAGAAAAUACUGCCCUUGAUCUACGAACUCUCUUCAAAGGAAGUUUUAACAUUUUAAGUCUUCAGAGUCUUUAAAUGUGAACUGGAAAAUGUGGAAACUGGAAAAUAAUUACUUUGUGUGCUUUUUGUAUGAGAUUAAGGUCUCUACUAUAGCAGAGUUCUUUACAAGGAAUAUGUAGGACAAGUCUAAAGACUGAAGCAAGAGUCUGGAAUUUUGCCGCUUCUUGGUUGACAGAAUCCAAGGGUAUAUUGUCACAGAGAAGACUCCAGCCUGAUGUCUAU